GCAUAUACAAAUAUGGAAACUGUUACCGCCAUUUUCGUUCUUUUCCUUUCUCUCUUCCAUUUUUUCUGUUUUCCAUAUAUUCAUUUCCUCAUUUCUCCGGCUGCCCUCCCUUUAUCUUCCUACACUAAAAGAUCUCCGACUGUGAGCUGAAGAACAUGUUGGAGGUAUCCGAUGGCUGGUUUAGGCUGCAAAAUGGAUUGAAAUCAGAUGUGUGUCAAUGCAAUUAUCAUCUCAUUAACAAGGUCGGAUUCUUGUGAUGUUGACAGAAGUGUUAGUUUGACAAAUGAGAUGAGGAAAUUCUUGCGGCGUAUAAUUGUUGUUCUGUUGUUCAGAGUUAGCUGGAAGAAACUAUUUGUUAUAGGCACUAUUUUAACAGUUUUUAGGAUCAUAUUUCAAAUUUACAGCCUCCCAAAUCCGUUAACAGGAUGGAUUAUCUCUCCACCCUUGGUUGUUUCAUCUUACCAACGCGCAAAUGAUGGAAAGAAUUCAAGGGAACUUUCAGUGACAUCAGAUAACCAGUUGAAAAAGAGUAAGCAUUUGCCCGCAGUUGUUUCGGUCAACUCAACCGCUAGAAAUUCGAGGGAAGUUUCAGUGACAUCAGAUAACAAGUUGAAAAUGAAUAAGCAUUUGGCCGGAUUUGUUUCGCUCAACUCUACAGCCAGAACGAACAGAUCAAUGCAAGUUCUGCAAAGACGAGAAAGACUUCUGAGGCGUAGGAGAAGCAAGAUGAAUGCACAUCUAAAGAUUAUUUUUCCGCCUCCACCUGUUGUACCCGAUCAUGUGCAGAGAUCUAUAGCAGCUUUGAAACCAAAUGAGGCUCUUGCAUACGCUAAAAGCGAGAUUGAGAAAGCUCCUCUGAUCACCGAUGAUCCAGACUUGUAUGCUCCUCUAUUUAGGAAUAUUUCCGUCUUUAAGAGGAGCUAUGAGCUGAUGGAACUUCUACUCAAAGUUUACAUUUAUAAAGAAGGAGAGAGACCUAUUUUCCACGAACCUCAUCUUACGGGUAUUUAUUCAUCGGAAGGAUGGUUCAUGAAAUUGAUGGAGCAAAACCGUUACUUUGUCACUAGGGACCCAGAGAAGGCUCACCUAUUUUAUCUGCCAUAUAGUUCACGCCAGUUGCAGAUGGCAGUUUAUGUGCCAAACUCACAUAAUCUGAGGCCGUUGUCAAUAUUCCUGCGGGACUAUGUCAACAUGCUAGCUGCAAAGUAUCCCUUCUGGAACCGCACACAUGGAACUGAUCAUUUUCUAGUUGCUUGCCAUGAUUGGGGGCCUUACAUUUUAAAGGAUCAUAAGGAGCUUAUUAGAAACACUAUAAAAGCUCUCUGCAAUGCAGAUAUAUCUGAAGGGAUAUUUAAAGCUGGGAAGGAUGUUUCCCUUCCGGAGACCACCAUAAGGAAUGUCCGUAAGCCUCUUAGAAACGUUGGUGGAAAAAGAGUGUCACAACGCCCAAUCCUCGCCUUUUUUGCUGGAAAUAUGCACGGGCCAGUCCGUCCCAAACUCCUUAAGUACUGGAAGGACCGAGAUGAAGACAUGAAGAUUUAUGGGCCUCUACCGACCAGAGUCUCAAGAAUUAUGUCUUAUGCUGAACACAUGAAGUCAAGCAAGUACUGCCUCUGCCCAAUGGGUUUCGAAGUGAACAGCCCAAGGAUAGUCGAGUCAAUAUACUACGAGUGUGUCCCAGUGAUCAUUGCUGAUAAUCUUGCCCUCCCAUUUGACGAAGUGCUCGAUUGGAGUGCUUUCUCACUAACUGUUGCUGAGAAAGAUAUUCCUAAGCUGAAGGAGAUUCUAUUAAGUAUACCUCUAAAACGUUAUCAGGUCAUGCAACAUAAUGUCAAGAAGCUGCAGAAGCAUUUCCAUUGGAAAUCAAUGCCUACUAGAUAUGAUCUCUUCCAUAUGAUUUUGCAUUCCAUUUGGUCUAGAAGGCUCAACCAGUUACAAGAAUCACAGAUAUCAUAAUCCCUCUCGAGUUCUGCCUGCUUUCAACUAGCCCGGCUACUCGUUGUACAGCAACAUGAACCAUAUUUUAAGGGCUCUUUUUAACAGUAGUUGGCCGAAUUGUCAACAACUGCCAAAUUUGAGAUGAUAUGAGGCAUUACUCAAUAAGGAUGCAAGACUGACAGGUCCCUAGUCCUACACAUGCACACUACAGCAGAAGAGCAAAAGAUAGUUGGAGUUUAAGACUUUAUCCCGCGCCUUCAGCAUUUAUCUUCGUAAGCUUUUUCCACUCUAAGUUGAAUUUUCGCACGGUAUAAACCAGAAGGUGUUCUCAGAGAUGAGUUAUUGUGUGCAUAGAAAAGGAAUGUACAUUGCCAGACAUGAAGUGGUAGAUCAAGAUAUGUAGUUGAUCUCUUGUAUAUCGCGAUAAUACAGUAGAUAUUCUUGUUGGUAGAUCAGCUGUUUUAAACACAAUGUCAAAUAUUCAUAUACCAGGGAGAGAGUUUCCCUUAUACUUUUCUGAUGUGUAUAUAUGUACAGUGUUAUAUUCUAUCAGUAAUUACAAGAACCAAUGUGAUUAUCACAACGGUUAUGCCCUGUGUUUAUAACUCAAAGCAUUUGAAUCAAUUCAAAGUAGGAAGAUUAGUUGUGUAAUUGUAAACCAAAUACACUACGCAUUAGAGUCUCAAAAUAUCCCAGAAUUUAAUGCAGUUAGACAACUUUUGAACC